UAGGGAAUCUUCCACAAUGGACGCAAGUCUGAUGGAGCAACGCCGCGUGAGUGAAGAAGGUUUUCGGAUCGUAAAGCUCUGUUGUUGGUGAAGAAGGAUAGAGGCAGUAACUGGUCUUUAUUUGACGGUAAUCAACCAGAAAGUCACGGCUAACUACGUGCCAGCAGCCGCGGUAAUACGUAGGUGGCAAGCGUUGUCCGGAUUUAUUGGGCGUAAAGCGAGCGCAGGCGGAAUGAUAAGUCUGAUGUGAAAGCCCACGGCUCAACCGUGGAACUGCAUCGGAAACUGUCAUUCUUGAGUGCAGAAGAGGAGAGUUGAAUUCCAUGUGUAGCAGUGGAAUGCGUAGAUAUAUGGAAGAACACCAGUGGCGAAGGCGGCUCUCUGGUCUGCAACUGACGCUGAGGCUCGAUAGCAUGGGUAACGAACAGG
rnacentral:rRNA from 1 species